GGGAGCCCGCAGGUGGUCACAGCUGGGAGCCCUUAGAAAUGCUGGCUCGGAGGCCCCCACAGCCCCCCGAGUCAGAAUCUGCAUUUCACCUC